UACGAAGGGGGCGAGCGUUGUUCGGAUUUACUGGGCGUAAAGGGCGCGCAGGCGGCGAUGUUUGUCAGGCGUGAAAGCCCCGGGCUCAACCUGGGAAUUGCGCAUGAAACGGCAUUGCUAGAGAUCGGGAGAGGAGAGUGGAAUUCCCAGUGUAGAGGUGAAAUUCGUAGAUAUUCGCAAGAACACCAGUGGCGAAGGCGGCUCACUGGCCCGGUACUGACGCUGAGGUGCGAAAGCGUGGGGAGCAAACAGGG
rnacentral:rRNA from 1 species